rnacentral:rRNA from 1 species
GACGAACGCUGGCGGCGUGCUUAACACAUGCAAGUCGAACGGAAAGGCCCCUUUGGGGGUGCUCGAGUGGCGAACGGGGGGGUAACGCGUGUGAAACCUGCGCUUGCCUUCCGGUUCACUUCGGGAACCUCGGGCUAGUACCGCUUAGACAUCCUUGCUGCAUGGUGGGGGUUGGAGGGCUUCGGCGGGUUUGGGUGGACUGGCGGUGUGUUCGCGGGUUGGGGGGGUUGUGGCGUGCCGAGGGCUUGACGGGUAGCCGGCCCGGGAUGGCGACCGGCCACAGUGGGACCUAGAUACGGCCCAGACACCGACGGGUGGCAGCAGUGGGGAAUAAUGCACAAUGGGCGGAAGCCUGAGGCAGCAACGCCGCGUGGGGGAGGACGGCUUUCGGGUUGUAAAACGCGUUCAGCAGGGGCGAAGCUUGUGGUGACGGUACCUGCAGAAGAAGCACCGGCUAACUACGUG